GUCUACAGCCAUGCUACCCUGAACAAGCCCGAUCCCGUCUGAUCUUGGAAGCUAAGCAAGGUCGGGCCUGUUUAAUACUUGGAUGGGAGACUACCUAGGAAGACCAGGUGCUGUAGGCG
rnacentral:rRNA from 1 species